ensembl:lncRNA
GCGUUGAGUUUUUCUUUUCUUCUAAGAUACGUAUGUUUAUACGAGUGUGAGUACGUAUGUGUUUUAAGUUAGUUUUGGUCAGUCGAAUUAACUACGUAAACAGUUACUUGUAUGGACAAUUAUGCCGCCGCCCAUGUGGUAAUGUGGUUCCAGCAGUAGGACACUUGACUGGUUACUCGCCGCAGCAGUUUCUGGAUGAAAGGUGUCGAGCUCGUCAAGUACUAAGCUUUACACCCCCAGCAGCAAAUUUACCCUGGCAGCAUAUGGGUGAAAACGCUGGAGGAGAAAGUCAUCGCUCUGUAAUUGGCCCUUGGACUCCCCUGGCAUCUCGUGUACAGCAUGAAGUUUUCAGCUAUGAAGGUAUAUUUUAGGCCUAUGUCUUAGUGUCCAGUGUUUUAAAAGUAUUGAAAAUAGUGCCUUUAGGUGUUUUUUUUUUUUUUUU